GCGGGAGUAGCUCAGUUGGUAGAGCGCAACCUUGCCAAGGUUGAGGUCGAGAGUUCGAGACUGGGCAAGUUGCGUGGACUUUCCCACUGUG
rnacentral:tRNA from 1 species